AUGAACGCUAGCGACAGGCUUAACACAUGCAAGUCGAGGGGCAGCACAGGUAGCAAUACCGGGUGGCGACCGGCGCACGGGUGAGUAACGCGUAUGCAACUUACCUAUCAGAGGGGGAUAACCCGGCGAAAGUCGGACUAAUACCGCAUGAAGCAGGGGCCCCGCAUGGGGAUAUUUGCUAAAGAUUCAUCGCUGAUAGAUAGGCAUGCGUUCCAUUAGGCAGUUGGCGGGGUAACGGCCCACCAAACCGACGAUGGAUAGGGGUUCUGAGAGGAAGGUCCCCCACAUUGGUACUGAGACACGGACCAAACUCCUACGGGAGGCAGCAGUGAGGAAUAUUGGUCAAUGGCCGAGAGGCUGAACCAGCCAAGUCGCGUGAGGGAUGAAGGUUCUAUGGAUCGUAAACCUCUUUUAUAAGGGAAUAAAGUGCGGGACGUGUCCCGUUUUGUAUGUACCUUAUGAAUAAGGAUCGGCUAACUCCGUGCCAGCAGCCGCGGUAAUACGGAGGAUCCGAGCGUUAUCCGGAUUUAUUGGGUUUAAAGGGUGCGUAGGCGGCCUUUUAAGUCAGCGGUGAAAGUCUGUGGCUCAACCAUAGAAUUGCCGUUGAAACUGGGGGGCUUGAGUAUGUUUGAGGCAGGCGGAAUGCGUGGUGUAGCGGUGAAAUGCAUAGAUAUCACGCAGAACCCCGAUUGCGAAGGCAGCCUGCCAAGCCAUGACUGACGCUGAUGCACGAAAGCGUGGGGAUCAAACAGGAUUAGAUACCCUGGUAGUCCACGCAGUAAACGAUGAUCACUAGCUGUUUGCGAUACACAGUAAGCGGCACAGCGAAAGCGUUAAGUGAUCCACCUGGGGAGUACGCCGGCAACGGUGAAACUCAAAGGAAUUGACGGGGGCCCGCACAAGCGGUGGAGCAUGUGGUUUAAUUCGAUGCAACGCGAAGAACCUUACCUGGUCUUGACAUCCACGGAAGUUUUCAGAGAUGAGAAUGUGCCUUCGGGAACCGUGAGACAGGUGCUGCAUGGCUGUCGUCAGCUCGUGUUGUGAAAUGUUGGGUUAAGUCCCGCAACGAGCGCAACCCUUGCCACUAGUUACUAACAGGUGAUGCUGAGGACUCUGGUGGGACUGCCAGCGUAAGCUGCGAGGAAGGCGGGGAUGACGUCAAAUCAGCACGGCCCUUACAUCCGGGGCGACACACGUGUUACAAUGGCGUGGACAAAGGGAGGCCACCUGGCGACAGGGAGCGAAUCCCCAAACCACGUCUCAGUUCGGAUCGGAGUCUGCAACCCGACUCCGUGAAGCUGGAUUCGCUAGUAAUCGCGCAUCAGCCAUGGCGCGGUGAAUACGUUCCCGGGCCUUGUACACACCGCCCGUCAAGCCAUGGGAGCCGGGGGUACCUGAAGUCCGUAACCGCGAGGAUCGGCCUAGGGUAAAACUGGUGACUGGGGCU
rnacentral:rRNA from 1 species